AUUGAACGCUGGCGGCAGGCCUAACACAUGCAAGUCGAGCGGAUGAGUGGAGCUUGCUCCAUGAUUCAGCGGCGGACGGGUGAGUAAUGCCUAGGAAUCUGCCUGGUAGUGGGGGACAACGUUUCGAAAGGAACGCUAAUACCGCAUACGUCCUACGGGAGAAAGUGGGGGAUCUUCGGACCUCACGCUAUCAGAUGAGCCUAGGUCGGAUUAGCUAGUUGGUGGGGUAAAGGCUCACCAAGGCGACGAUCCGUAACUGGCCUGAGAGGAUGAUCAGUCACACUGGAACUGAGACACGGUCCAGACUCCUACGGGAGGCAGCAGUGGGGAAUAUUGGACAAUGGGCGAAAGCCUGAUCCAGCCAUGCCGCGUGUGUGAAGAAGGUCUUCGGAUUGUAAAGCACUUUAAGUUGGGAGGAAGGGCAGUAAGUUAAUACCUUGCUGUUUUGACGUUACCAACAGAAUAAGCACCGGCUAACUUCGUGCCAGCCGCCGCAGUAAUAC
rnacentral:rRNA from 1 species